ACAGUUGUGGCCUAAAAAAGGAAAAAGUCCAGAUGGUUCCAACGCUUCUGCUCCAGUCUCCUGCCUUACUGGUGCCUGCCACUCCCAGAGUCCUAGCCUCCCCUCCAGUGCCUGUCCAGUUCCUGUGCUGGCCAGGGCCCUUCAUCCAUUCCCCAGGUUCCACUAGCCUCAAAAUCUAUGGUCAGCGGGGAUAGAUGUGGAUUUUUAAUUUCAAUGGUAGAGUGAAGAACAGAAGCAGGAGAAGGGAGAAGUGUGGCCCCCAGGCCAGGAAAAGGGAAAGCUGAGCCUUGGGACCAACUCCUUACUACAGAGGGAAAGGUGGCUAAGGUGAAAAUGAAGACCAGACCGUCCCACCAGCUGUUCCUGGCACAGUGGGCACCGGUACUUGGGCUGCACGGCAUGCUGGGCUAUGGUAUGGGCCUGUACCUGCUCACUGGCAGGGCUGAUGAAGCUGCAGUACGGACAGCAGUACACCUGGAGGGAUGCGUAGCUCUCCCUUCGGCCAGAGCAGUUCUAGAAAGGAGGCCAUACCUGCCUGUUUCGGAGCCCACUCAUCCUCCCUCCGUGUCGGCUCAGCUCCCACUCUUUCUUUUCCUUCUUCCUUUUUUUUUUUUUUUUUUUUUUUUUUUUUUUUUUGGUAAACAAACACCACAGCUCCCCCAGUGGCCAGUGGCCCAGGAAAAUUCUGGCCUGGCCUCCUCCCUCUGGCUCAGGUCCCCCCUUCCAUCCACUCCUCCCCCUCUAAAGGGGCGGGGAAAUGGGAGUGGAGAUGGAGCUGGUGGUGGUGGAAGAGGAUGCGAGCUCUGGAAGUACUGUUUGUGUGAUGGAGCAGUGAGAGACUCUUCCCUUUGCUGUGAGCAAAGGGCCUGGGCACUGGAUCUCCCUUCUCUGGAUCAGGCCUUACAGCUCAGAACUCCUCACUUGGGUUAUUUACUUUCUGGCUACGGGAAAUGGUUGGUAGAUGCCUCGAGGGGAAGGCACAAGUGGGUGGAGAGUCCUUGAGCCAAUCCCUCAUUCCACUGCCCCCACCCCCAGCGCAGAUGAAGAAGGCCAGUGAUUGGACUCACUGGACACAGUGAAAGUGACUACAACGUUGCUUGCCGUUGCCACCCUUCAGCCAGGGCUGUUGCAGUCACAGCACUAGGAGGCCUGUCUAUUCUGGGGAGCUGGAGGGCUGUUUGAAAUGUGGAUUUAUCUAGAUUCAGAUUGGAGAAAUGGCAACUUUGUGCUUCAUGUUCCCUCUUUUAUUUUGGAAUCAAGAGAAGCCUUAUUAAAGCCCCUUGAUGCUUCUGCUCUUGGGCUAAAAAUCGUUUCCUAUUUUCUUCCCAAGCCAGGCCUUUUGGACACUCAAUAUUUUUCUAUCCUAGUGAAUGACCUAAGCUGGGGCGAGGCUCUUCUUGCCUCUCCCUCCCCAGGAAGUGGAGAAGCUGCUGAAGGAAAUGCUGCCAGGACUAUACCUGGAAAGAAACUAUAGCCUGAAAGGCCCCAAGACAGCUAUCCCACGAGGCGGGGAAUUCCUGUCUCUCUGCUUCAGGCAGCUUUUCUUCCACUCCGCUCAUCAUCCCCUCACCUACCUUUUUCUCCCAUUCUCUCUCCCCCACCUCUUCCUUAAUCCCAGGUCAGCUUCUCAUAAAUUUUCUCUUUCAAACUAUCCUCACUUUUUCCUUUUCAUCUUGCUUUACUCUUUCACAUCUAAGGCCAGUAAAACUAGAUUUUUCUCUGACUGCGGCUAAAUAAAAGCAGUUGAUCUUACAUUGUAUGUGAGAGGAUUUUGUAAACUAAAAUCUUAUGUAAAUGUUAGCUAGUAUUAUUGUAUGUGAACAUAUUAAGGGAAAUAAAACCACUGAUUUAAAGAGUA